AUUGAACGCUGGCGGCAGGCUUAACACAUGCAAGUCGAGCGGGGUGAUGGUGCUUGCACUAUCACUUAGCGGCGGACGGGUGAGUAAUGCUUAGGAAUCUGCCUAUUAGUGGGGGACAACAUCUCGAAAGGGAUGCUAAUACCGCAUACGUCCUACGGGAGAAAGCAGGGGAUCACUUGUGACCUUGCGCUAAUAGAUGAGCCUAAGUCGGAUUAGCUAGUUGGUGGGGGAAAGGCCUACCAAGGCGACGAUCUGUAGCGGGUCUGAGAGGAUGAUCCGCCACACGGGGACUGAGACACGGCCCAGACUCCUACGUGAGGCAGCAGUGGGGAAUAUUGGACAAUGGGGGGAACCCUGAUCCAGCCAUGCCGCGUGUGUGAAGAAGGCCUUAUGGUUGUAAAGCACUUUAAGCGAGGAGGAGGCUCUUUUGGUUAAUACCCAAGAUGAGUGGACGUUACUCGCAGAAUAAGCACCGGCUAACUCUGUGCCAGCCGCCGCUGUAA
rnacentral:rRNA from 1 species